AGACUCACUGCUCCAGGCCGUCGCCUGCUUGCCCACAGGACUCCGGCUAUGUCAUCGCCCUGCGCAGCUACAUCACUGACAACUGCAGCCUCCUCAGCUUCCACCGUGGGGACCUCAUCAAGCUGCUGCCGGUGGCCACCCUGGAGCCAGGCUGGCAGUUUGGCUCUGCCGGGGGCCGUUCCGGACUCUUUCCUGCCGACAUAGUGCAGCCGGCUGCCGCUCCCGACUUUUCCUUCUCCAAGGAGCAGAGGAGUGGCUGGCACAAGGGUCAGCUGCCCAACGGGGAACGAGGGCUGGCUCGGUGGGACAGGGCCUCAGAGGUGAGGAAGAUGGGAGAGGGACAACCAGAGGCAAGGCCUGCCUGAGACUGAGGAAGGAAAGGGGUUUGACCACUCCCGAGGCUGCCAUGUGGCAGGACCACCCUGCUGUCCGUCUCCUGUGGCUGCCCCAUCUGCCCCCUCCUGAUGGCUCGCCUUGUCUCUCCGGCAAGACUCUGCACUCCUUGCAGGCAGGGGCUGGGCUGGGUGCUGCUCUUGUGCCCCACGUGGUACUUAGUU
rnacentral:sRNA from 1 species